rnacentral:rRNA from 1 species
AUUGAACGCUGGCGGCAGGCCUAACACAUGCAAGUCGAACGGCAGCACAGAAGAGCUUGCUCUUUGGGUGGCGAGUGGCGGACGGGUGAGUAAUGUCUGGGAAACUGCCCGAUGGAGGGGGAUAACUACUGGAAACGGUAGCUAAUACCGCAUAACGUCGCGAGACCAAAGUGGGGGACCUUCGGGCCUCACACCAUCGGAUGUGCCCAGAUGGGAUUAGCUAGUAGGUGGGGUAAUGGCUCACCUAGGCGACGAUCCCUAGCUGGUCUGAGAGGAUGACCAGCCACACUGGAACUGAGACACGGUCCAGACUCCUACGGGAGGCAGCAGUGGGGAAUAUUGCAAAAUGGGCGCAAGCCUGAUGCAGCCAUGCCGCGUGUAUGAAGAAGGCCUUCGGGUUGUAAAGUACUUUCAGCGGGGAGGAAGGCGGUGAGGUUAAUAACCUCGCCGAUUGACGUUACCCGCAGAAGAAGCACCGGCCAACUCCGUGCCAGCCGCCGCAGUAA